GAUGAACGCUGGCGGCGUGCCUCAAACAUGCAAGUCGAGCGAGGCUAUGAAUUACCGCAAGGUAAGGCAUAGCCUAGCGGCGAACGGGUGAGUAACACGUGGGUAACCUACCUGGAAGACAGGGAUAACGAUUCGAAAGGGUCGCUAAUACCUGAUAAUAUCCGUCUGCCGGAUGGCGGAGGGAAGAAAGGGGAAACCCGCUUUUCAGACGGGCCCGCGUCCCAUCAGCUAGUUGGUAAGGUAAAGGCUUACCAAGGCGACGACGGGUAGCCGGUCUGAGAGGAUGUACGGCCACACUGGGACUGAGAUACGGCCCAGACUCCUACGGGAGGCAGCAGUUGGGAAUCUUAGGCAAUGGACGAAAGUCUGACCUAGCGACGCCGCGUGAGGGAAGAAGGCCUUGGGUUGUAAACCUCUGUCAUGGGGGAAGAAGGGAAGUGACGGUACCCCAAGAGGAAGCCCCUGCUAACUACGUGCCAGCAGCCGCGGUAAAGCUAACGUAGA
rnacentral:rRNA from 1 species